rnacentral:rRNA from 1 species
CAUGCUUAGUAUAUAACGGCGAACGGCUCAGUAAUGUUGCGAUGAUUUGGUCUUUUUGGGAUAGAAUAACUACGGUAAGCUGUAGCUAAAAAUAAAGAAUAAGUCGCAACCCUAUCAGUUAGUUGGUAGUGUAAAGGACUACCAAGACAAUGACGGGUGACGGGAAAUUAGGGUUUUAUUCCGGAGAGGGAGCCUGAGAGAUGGCUCCCACGUCCAAGGACGGCAGCAGGCGCGAAAAUUGCCCACUCUUUUAAGAGGAGGCAGUUAUGAGACGUAUAAAUAGGAAAUAUUAUAAAAAGAUAUAAAAGAAUUGGAGGGCAAGUUUGGUGCCAGCAGCCGCGGUAAUACCGACUCCAAGAGUGUCUAUGGUGGAUGCUGCAGUUAAAAAGUCCGUAGUUUUAUAAAUGCAAUUAAAAAACGUAGAUAAAAUACGUUUAGUUUGUUAAGUAUAGCGAAACGGGUAGAGUGCAUAGUAUAGAUAGGCGAGAGAUGAAAUUACCAAGACCCUAUCUGGACUAACGGAGGCGAAAGCGAUGUACUUAAACGAAUUUAAGGAUCAAGGACGAAGGCUGGAGGAUCGAAAGUGAUUAGAUACCGCUGUAGUUCCAGCAGUAAACGAUGCCGACAAGUAAGAUACUGUGGAGUAUUUACUGGGAGAAAUUUUAGUUUUCGGGCUCUGGGGAUAGUACGCUCGCAAGGGUGAAACUUAAAGUGAAAUUGACGGAACUACACUACCAGGAGUGGAUUGUGCGGCUUAAUUUGA